rnacentral:tRNA from 1 species
GCAAUGGUAGCUCAGCGCCAGAGCGCCGGUCUUGUAAACCGGAUGUCGGAGGUUGUAGUCCUCCCCACUGCU